rnacentral:rRNA from 1 species
CGGCUCANCCGUGGAGGGUCAUUGGAAACUGUUAAACUUGAGUGCAGGAGAGAAAAGUGGAAUUCCUAGUGUAGCGGUGAAAUGCGUAGAGAUUAGGAGGANCACCAGUGGCGAAGGCGGCUUUUUGGCCUGUAACUGACACUGAGGCGCGAAAGCGUGGGGAGCAAACAGGAUUAGAUACCCUGGUAGUNCACGCCGUAAACGAUGAGUGCUAAGUUUUGGUCUCAUAAGAGAUCAGUGCUGCAGCUAACGCAUUAAGCACUCCGCCUGGGGAGUACGACCGCAAGGUUGAAGCUCAAAGGAAUUGACGGGGACCCGCACAAGCGGUGGAGCAUGUGGUUUAUUUCGAAGCAACGCGAAGAACCUUACCAAGUCUUGACAUACUGUGAGUACACAAGAGAUUGUGUUGUUCUGACCUUUGGUUAGACACAGAUACAGGUGGUGCAUGGUUGUCGUCAGCUCGUGUCGUGAGAUGUUGGGUUANNNNNNNNAACGAGCGCAACCCUUAUAUCUAGUUGCCAGCAGUAAGAUGGGGACUCUAGAUAGACUGCCAGUGAUAAACUGGAGGAAGGUGGGGAUGACGUCAAAUCAUCAUGCCCCUUAUGACUUGGGCUACACACGUGCUACAAUGGAUAGGAACAAAGAGAAGCGAGCUCGCGAGAGUAAGCAAACCUCACAAAACUAUUCUCAGUUCGGAUUGUAGUCUGCAACUCGACUACAUGAAGCUGGAAUCGCUAGUAAUCGCGAAUCAGAAUGUCGCGGUGAAUACGUUCCCGGGUCU